UGGGGAAUAUUGGACAAUGGGCGAAAGCCUGAUCCAGCCAUGCCGCGUGUGUGAAGAAGGUCUUCGGAUUGUAAAGCACUUUAAGUUGGGAGGAAGGGCAGUAAGCGAAUACCUUGCUGUUUUGACGUUACCGACAGAAUAAGCACCGGCUAACUCUGUGCCAGCAGCCGCGGUAAUACAGAGGGUGCAAGCGUUAAUCGGAUUUACUGGGCGUAAAGCGUGCGUAGGCGGCUAAUUGAGUCGGAUGUGGAAUCCCCGAGCUUAACUUGGGAAUUGCAUUCGAUACUGGUUAGCUAGAGUGUGUGAGAGGAUGGUAGAAUUCCAGGUGUAGCGGUGAAAUGAGUAGAGGUCUGGAGGAAUACCGAUGGCGAAGGCAGCCAUCUGGCCUAACACUGACGCUGAGGUACGAAAGCAUGGGGAGCAAACAGG
rnacentral:rRNA from 1 species